GAGACUAAGCCAUGCGAGUCGAAUGGAAUANCUAAAAUUUCCAUGGCAGACUGCUCAGUAACACAUGAUCAACUUACCCUAUGGAGAAAAAUAACCUCGGGAAACUGAGGAUAAUANNNCAUAGUUGAAAAGGCUUGGAAAAGUUUUUCAAUAAAGGGGUUAGAAUAAAUGGUUUUUAAUUGCCAUAGGAUAGGAUCGUGCUCGAUUAUGGUAGUUGGUGAGGUAAUGGCUCACCAAGCCGAUAAUCGAUAGGGGCCGUGAGAGCGGGAGCCCCGAGAUGGGUACUGAGACAACGACCCAGACCUUACGAGGUGCAGCAGGCGCGAAACCUCCGCAAUACACGAAAGUGUGACGGGGUUACCCAAAGUGUUCUUAUAGAACUGUGGUAGGUGAGUAAUGUUCCCUACUAGAAAGGAGAGGGCAAGGCUGGUGCCAGCCGCCGCGGUAAAACCAGCUCUUCAAGUGGUCGGGAUAAUUAUUGGGCUUAAAGUGUCCGUAGCCGGUUUAGUAAGUUCCUGGUAAAAUCGAGUAGCUUAACUAUUCGUAUGCUAGGAAUACUGCUAAUACUAGAGGGCGGGAGAGGUCUGAGGUACUACUGGGGUAGGGGUGAAAUCUUAUAAUCCUAGUAGGACCACCAGUGGCGAAGGCGUCAGACUGGAACGCGCCUGACGGUGAGGGACGAAAGCCAGGGGAGCGAACCGGAUUAGAUACCCGGGUAGUCCUGGCCGUAAACGAUGCAUACUAGGUGAUGGCACGGCCAUGAGCCGUGUCAGUGCCGUAGGGAAACCGUUAAGUGUGCCGCCUGGGAAGCACGGUCGCAAGGCUAAAACUUAA
rnacentral:rRNA from 1 species